GACCAAGGAAAUCUGUCAGGCUCUGACUCCCUUGCCCAUUUGGUUUAUAAGCUCUUUUCUGUAGACACACCACAGUCCCCGCAAACACCAUACUGUGCGCAACUCGUGGAAGAACAGUUAGAAAGCCCAGGAGCUUGGAAGUCAACCUGGCUUCGUCUUAGAGGUGUGGAACCUCUCUUGAUGCUUACGGGCUCCCCUACCUCCUUCCUUAACCCACCGAACCUACGCGUUCUGUUCUGUCACGUGUUCUGGCCUGACGUCACAAGGCCCCCAGAGCUUGCCUGGCUCCAGAAUUUCUGGACCCUGCUCACUCUUUGGCUGUUGUGCAGAUCUCUAUGUCGCGCAGCAACUGCCCUAAAGGAGAAAGUUUUCCUUGCAGCUUAACUAGCUGCCAACCCUACAUCCAGCUGGAUCGGGAUUAUCACUCUACACAUCCAGUGGCCCUGGAGAAGCUGCCCCUGCCUGGCCAGCAUCAUCCGGUUGCUACAGCCAAGGGAGUUCACUGCCAGCUCUUGUAGACCUGCUGGAGUGGUCCUCACUCAUGUGUGGUCUGGCGAGGAUGUGUCGGGGUGCCUGACACCAGCCUCAGCCAGCUGCUCCUCACAUCGGGAGACCUUUCCCAAGAAAGAACAGAGGACAAAAGGUCUUCCAGGCCCUGCACAUUCUCAGCCUCAGGCUAGUGCAUCAGGGAGCCCUGUUACUCCUGUGUCAGCAUUAAAGAGACCCUGCAAGAGAAAGGCAGCCACACCAGAGUUGCUGGUGCCACCCUCAGAGGUUCUACAACUACUGCAGGAUGAAGGUGACUGGCCCCCUCCUCCCAAGAUUCCACACCUUGAGGAAAAGAAAGAAUCAGACACCAUAAAGAACAAGAAGGGUCAGGCCAUCCAGAUCUCAGAUGAUAAAGUGAAUGUCUUAGAACCUAAAAGCCAGGAGGUGUCAGUCCGCACUGUCCCUCAGCCUGAUCUGCCAAGGUCCCCACCUUCUUCAGGACCUGGAGUCGCUCUGUCCUUACCCACUGAUGGGGUUUCCAGCCUUGGUGGUCCUGCCUCCACUCCCUUGUUAUGCCAGGCUGUUCGAUCUCCAAUCCCAUCUGUCCCUUCACCUUCCCCCACACCAAGUAUACCCACAAUCCCUAUUUCUCCUUUGGUUCUCCCUUCUGACUCUUUUCCUCCCUGUCAGGCCAGGCCCUGUGUGGAGACUCCACCAGAUUUCAAGAAGAAAGACCCUACUAAUGUGGCCACAACUCCUGCCAUUUCUGACCUCCCCAGGCCUGGGGCUGAAGCUUUGUCUUUCAAUCCCUCCUCCUGCAGGAGGGACUCCACAGUGUCAGUGUGCACAGCUAGCCACCCUCCUCUCCCCUUCUCUGCGGCUCCUCUAUCCCUCUUCCCCAGGAACCCUCCCACAGUCUUCCCUACCUCAGCAUCUCAGGACUGUGAAGACAUGUACUGGGAGCCAUCUCCGUGGCCUGCAGAGGUGGACAUGGAUACCACGCCCCCUUCUGAGGCGGCUAUUCUGAGCUCACCCACUGUCAGCAGUGGUAGCUCCUUACCAUUUGCUCCUAGCCAUGGCUGUAUCCAGCAGAGGAUGGUUGCAAACGCAACCGUGUCCAUUAGCCUACCUUCAUGCAAAGUCCCCUGCUAUACUAGCUUUGGGAACAAUCUGUUUACUCCAAGGCCCACCAUUGGGCAGAUGCACGGAGUGUCUCCCGCUGGUAAUCCUGGUGUUUGGAUCCAACCUGGGCUGGUAGCAGCUCUCCCUCCCAUGGCAGCAGUAACCCCAUCUCCUGCUGCUGUGGACUUUGAAUUCAUGGAUACCACCCCACCUUCUAAAGCUUUCAUCUUUCAUUCUCCCCCUGCCACUGACAAUGUCUCCAACAGUGUGCCUCCCCAGUCAGUUUGGGGGCAUACUCCAGCUUGCAAGCCUGCUGGAGCUACCCCUAGGACGACCCCUGCAUUGCUAAGUGGGCCGCCAGCUGAUGGCUGUGUCUUUAUGAGAAAUCCCCCCACCUUAAGAGCAGCACCUGGCUUGACGUCACGAGCUGGCCCACCUGCUGGAGGUAGCUCGACUCACCUAGGAUUUGUAGGCCCAGCAUCACCUGCUCACCAUGGCAGGCCUGAUGGCACUGAGCUAGCCUACAGGAAGAGCCCACGUGCUUCGUCCAUCGCCACAUCGACCUCAGGGUUGACUCUCAAGGCAAGAAUGGGUUCAGGGAACUGCAGCUCAUCAUCCACCAACUUCACUCCCAGCACCCCAACAUUGGUGAAACCUGUGGUGCCAGUAGAGGGGGAGAACUGUGGGCGUGGCACGCACCUGCAAGCACACCUACCCACAGCUCGCUACUACAUUGCUAGGAGGAAGGGGAAGGACAAUGGAGUUACUGUCGCCCCCAUUGUCCUCAAACUUUGCAGCUCAUCUGCACACACUGGUCAUGCUGUGUAAAUGGGGGAGGGGGAGAGAGGCACUAGAAGAGAGGUACAUGGAUCCCCACUGCCCUGCCUGGCUCUCCAGGCUGGCACAGGCUGAAGACUACUUCCUAUAGCCCUUGACUGGCAGCGCAGGCCUGGUAUUUACUGAACUGUAUGCACAAGUGCGGAACUUCACACCCUCACCUCUCCAGAUGCACAGAGACCUGUUGAGUAAGCAACAACCCUAGUUGGUUACUAGGAUUUUUGUCUGUAGUUUUGAGUGGAAUGAUAUUUUCAUGUGUGGUGGUCUGGGUAUUCCCAAGUUAGUUUUUGUUUUCUCAUGAUAAUAUUUGUGUUCUUUUAAUUAUUUAUUAAAAAUAAAGCUGGUCUUAAUGUUCUUAUACAUGACUUUGCAUUUAUGGUGUGGCUGAAGUUCACACACACACUGUAUUUCCAUUUUCGACAACACUGAAGUGGUUUUCCACUGAACACGAAUGCUUGUGUUUCUAUUGCUGUCGUAAGACAUCGUGACCACGACGGGCAUGGUGGCGCACGCCUUUAAUCCCAGCACUCGGGAGGCAGAGGCAGGCGGAUUUCUGAG
rnacentral:lncRNA from 1 species